GAGUUUGAUCCUGGCUCAGGAUGAACGCUAGCGAUAGGCUUAACACAUGCAAGUCGAGGGGCAGCAUGAACUUAGCUUGCUAAGUUUGAUGGCGACCGGCGCACGGGUGCGUAACGCGUAUGCAACUUGCCUUACAGAGGGGGAUAACCCGUUGAAAGACGGACUAAUACCGCAUAUACUUAUUCGGUUGCAUGACCGGGCAAGGAAAUAUUUAUAGCUGUAAGACAGGCAUGCGUCCCAUUAGCUGGUUGGUGAGGUAACGGCUCACCAAGGCAACGAUGGGUAGGGGAACUGAGAGGUUUAUCCCCCACACUGGUACUGAGACACGGACCAGACUCCUACGGGAGGCAGCAGUGAGGAAUAUUGGUCAAUGGGCGAGAGCCUGAACCAGCCAAGUCGCGUGAAGGAAGACUGUCCUAAGGAUUGUAAACUUCUUUUAUACGGGAAUAACGGGCGAUACGUGUAUUGCUGUGAAUNACCUAGANG
rnacentral:rRNA from 1 species